UACGAAGGGUGCAAACGUUGCUCGGAAUUAUUGGGCGUAAAGGGGUGCGUAGGCGGUUUGGUAAGUCUGAUGUGAAAUCUAUGGGCUCAACUCAUAGUCUGCAUCGGAAACUGCCGGGCUUGAGUGUGGGAGAGGUGAGUGGAAUUCCUGGUGUAGCGGUGAAAUGCGUAGAUAUCAGGAGGAACACCUGGUGGCGAAAGCGGCUCACUGGACCAUAACUGACGCUGAUGCACGAAAGCUAGGGGGAGCAAAACAGG
rnacentral:rRNA from 1 species